UGCUCGAUUGCGAAAGAUUUACAUGUAUAUUAAUCCUGUUCUGUUAAAAUUGAGGCCAGAAGAAAUAUUGGCAUUGAACUCUUGUGUAUCAAAAUAAACAGGAUGCGUUUUUUGCUGGUUUUAGUGCUCUUGAUGGUUCUCAACACCAAGUCCAUCAUAGAUGCAGAAUGUAGUACAAGCUCUGUUAAAAGCUGCGAUCCUACGAAUGAUUCCCAAUACAAAAGUUCCGGCCUCACGCUUUCUGAAGCUUGCGGAAUACUGAAUAGAUACAAGGCAUGCCUACAAAGUCGUGGAUGUAGUGCAGAUAUUACCAAAGCUGCAGAUGAAGGAUUUGAAAGGACUUCCGGUUAUAAGUGUGAUGGAUGUACCAUGACAGUCAGUAUGUCACUUAUGCUCAUCUCAACUUUUCUGAUGUUCAUCAAAGAUAUCUACUAAAGAUACAGUGCCCUCCCUUUCUAUUAUUACCAGACUAGUAUCUGGUUUUUUUAACAACACAUGCUUAGUAAAUUCAACGAUACGAAAUUUUCUAUUUCUUUGAAAAUAUGACGCCAUUCUUUUUUUUCUCAAAAUAACGUUUAAUAUAUGUUAUGUUUCUAAGACGGUUAUAACGUCUCAGUGAUGUGUCCUCUUUAAGAUAUUUCUUUCAUUUUGUAUCUUGUUUUUACAAUUCUUAUUUUACUUUUACUAAGACUGUUUAAUAUCUCAUUGUUGGAUAACGAUGUAUUUAAGUUUUAAAAUUCUUAUUUUACUUUUGGUAAGACUGUGUAAUAUCUCAUUGUUGGAUAACUAUGUAUUUAGUUUUAAAAUUCUUAUUUUACUUUUGGUAAGACUGUGUAAUAUCUCAUUGUUGGAUAACUAUGUAUUUAGUUUUAAAAUUCUUAUUUUACUUUUGCUUAGACUGUGUAAUAUCAGUGUUCGAUAAUUUUGUAUCUAGUUUUAACAUUCUUAACAUCUCAGUGAUGUGUCCUUUUUAAGAAAUCUAUUUCAUUUUGGAUAAAUUCUUAUUUAACUUUUUACUAAGACGGUUUAAUAUCUCAGUGUUUGAUAAAUUUGUAUUUAGUUUUAAAAUUCUUAUUUACUUUUACUAAGACUGUUUAACAUCUCAGUGGUAGAUAAUUUUGUAUUAAUUUUUAAAAUUCUUAUUACACUUUUACUAAGAUUGUUUAAAAUAUCAGUGUUGGAUAAUUAACUUUAUCUAUUUUUAAGGUUCUUAUUUUACUUUGAAGGCGAGUUUAUCAUCUUGUGUGAAAUGAAAUUUGGGCUAACGUCUUUUUUGUUUCCUUUUUAUACGCCGCACGUAUAUUGUCGUCGUCACUGUUUGUCCGUCCGUCCACAAUUUGUUUGUGGACACUCUACAGGUCAAAAUUUUUAUCCGAUUUCAACAAAACUUGAAAUAUAGCUUUAUCUCCCUACGAUCUCGAUUCCUUUCGAUAUUGGCAUGUAUCGGACCAUAACUUCAUGGAUUAUGGCCCCUGAUUGUACGAAAAAUCGUGUUUUUAGCUUGUGGACACUCUAGAGGUCACAAUUUUGAUCCGAUUUUGAUGAAACUUGGUUCCUUUCGCUAUUCGCGCAUAUCGAAUCGUAACUUCCUGAAUUAUGGCCCCUGAUUGUACGAAAAAUCGCGUUUUUGGCUUGUGGUUCCUCCAGAGGUCACAAUUUUUAUCCAAUUUAAAAAAAAACCUUUUAGUAUAUGACCGUUACACUUUAAUAAAGAUUGAGUUCGAAUUUCGUGAAAAUCGGACCAAAACUGACGGACAGAAUGGCCGCCGCUUGUGCGCGAAUAGUGUAAAAAUAUGGUAUAUCAUUAUCAAGGUUGUGGACGCUGUAGAGGUCACAAUUUUAAUCCGAUUUUGUUGAAACUUGAAAUGCGUGUUUAUAACCCAAAGAUCUUGGUUCCUGUCGAUAUUUGCGCGUAUCGAAUCGUAACUUCCUUUUUAGCUUGUGGUCCCUCUGAAGGUCACAAUUAUUAUCCGAUUUCAAAAAACACGGUUAUGAAGGUUGAGUUCGAAUUUCGUAAAAAUCGGACCAAAACUGACUGACAAAAUGGCCGCCUCUCGUACGCAAAUAGUGUAAAUAUCUGGUAUAUCAAGGUUGUGCCGAUUUUGAUGAAACUUGAAAUGCAUAUUUGUAUCCAAUUUUGAUGGAACUUAAAAAAUAUCUUUAUAUUCCAAACAUCCCAGUCCCUUUUGAUAUUUGCGCAUUCCAGGCCAUAACUUUCUGGAUUAUGACCCCUGAUUGUACAAAAACUCGUUUUUGUUUUUAGCUUGUUCUCUAUCCAUCUCUUGCAAAAUGUGGGCGUCUCCUGCCUGGCAGCCGCUGGUCAAUUAAUUUGUUGCGGUUUGUUUUCCAAGACGUUUAUAUCAUAUAAGAGUUAAACCCUUUUGAGAUUUGUAUUCUUUUUUUUUAUCUUUUAUUUUAAUGAAGUUAUAUUUCCACGCUUGAUAUUUACCCUUGUAUAUCACUGUCUUCUUUUCUUCCUUUUUUUAAAUAAAGGCUCUAUCGAAAUCAGA